rnacentral:rRNA from 1 species
UCAAGAAACUUCCACAAGUGGGCGAAAGCCUGAUGGAGCGACGUCGCGUGAUGGACGAAGUGCUUCGGCACGUAAACAUCUUUUAUGUGGGAUGAAAUUAUUGACAGUACCACAUGAAUAAGGGGCUCCUAACUCUGUGCCAGCAGGAGCGGUAAUACAGAGGCCCCAAGCGUUAUCCGGAAUCACUGGGCGUAAAGGGUGUCGAGGCGGUUGUAUUAGUCGUUCGUAAAAUCUACGAGCUUAACUUGUAGGCGGCGAACGAAACGGUACGACUUGAGGUUUGGAGAGGUGCGUGGAACUCACGGUGUAGGGGUGAAAUCCGUUGAUAUCGUGGGGAACACCAAAGGCGAAGGCAGCGCACUGGCCAAAAUCUGACGCUCACACACGAAAGCUAGGGUAGCGAAGAGGAUUAGAUACCCACGUAGUCCC